GACGAACGCUGGCGGCGUGCUUAACACAUGCAAGUCGAACGGUAAGGCCCUUCGGGGUACACGAGUGGCGAACGGGUGAGUAACACGUGGUGAUCUGCCCUGCACUUCGGGAUAAGCCUGGGAAACUGGGUCUAAUACCGGAUAGGACCAUGGACUUCACGGUUUGUGGUGGAAAGCUUUUGCGGUGUGGGAUGGGGCCCGCGGCCUAUCAGCUUGUUGGUGGGGUAAUGGCCUACCAAGGCGACGACGGGUAGCCGGCCUGAGAGGGUGUCCGGCCACACUGGGACUGAGAUACGGCCCAGACUCCUACGGGAGGCAGCAGUGGGGAAUAUUGCACAAUGGGCGCAAGCCUGAUGCAGCGACGCCGCGUGA
rnacentral:rRNA from 1 species